GGCAUGCUUACACAUGCAAGUCGAACGGCAGCACGGGUGCUUGCACUGUGCGAGUGCGAACGGGUGAGUAAUACAUCGGAACAUGUCCUGUAGUGGGGAUAGCCCGGCGAAAGCCGGAUUAAUACCGCAUACGAUCUAUGGAUGAAAGCGGGGGACUUCGGGCCUCGCGCUAUAGGGUUGGCCGAUGGCUGAUUAGCUAGUUGGUGGGGUAAAGGCCUACCAAGGCGACGAUCAGUAGCUGGUCUGAGAGGACGACCAGCCACACUGGGACUGAGACACGGCCCAGACUCCUACGGGAGGCAGCAGUGGGGAAUUUUGGACAAUGGGCGAAAGCCUGAUCCAGCAAUGCCGCGUGUGUGAAGAAGGCCUUCGGGUUGUAAAGCACUUUUGUCCGGAAAGAAAUCCUUGGCUCUAAUACAGUCGGGGGAUGACGGUACCGGAAGAAUAAGCACCGGCUAACUACGUGCCAGCAGCCGCGGUAAUACGUAGGGUGCAAGCGUUAAUCGGAAUUACUGGGCGUAAAGCGUGCGCAGGCGGUUUGCUAAGACCGAUGUGAAAUCCCCGGGCUCAACCUGGGAACUGCAUUGGUGACUGGCAGGCUAGAGUAUGGCAGAGGGGGGUAGAAUUCCACGUGUAGCAGUGAAAUGCGUAGAGAUGUGGAGGAAUACCGAUGGCGAAGGCAGCCCCCUGGGCCAAUACUGACGCUCAUGCACGAAAGCGUGGGGAGCAAACAGGAUUAGAUACCCUGGUAGUCCACGCCCUAAACGAUGUCAACUAGUUGUUGGGGAUUCAUUUCCUUAGUAACGUAGCUAACGCGUGAAGUUGACCGCCUGGGGAGUACGGUCGCAAGAUUAAAACUCAAAGGAAUUGACGGGGACCCGCACAAGCGGUGGAUGAUGUGGAUUAAUUCGAUGCAACGCGAAAAACCUUACCUACCCUUGACAUGGUCGGAAUCCUGAAGAGAUUCGGGAGUGCUCGAAAGAGAACCGGCGCACAGGUG
rnacentral:rRNA from 1 species